CAGCAGCCACGGUAAUACGAAGGGUGCAAGCGUUACUCGGAAUUACUGGGCGUAAAGCGUGCGUAGGUGGUUGUUUAAGUCUGUUGUGAAAGCCCUGGGCUCAACCUGGGAAUUGCAGUGGAUACUGGGCAACUAGAGUGUGGUAGAGGGUAGUGGAAUUCCCGGUGUAGCAGUGAAAUGCGUAGAGAUCGGGAGGAACAUCCAUGGCGAAGGCAGCUACCUGGACCAACACUGACACUGAGGCACGAAAGCGUGGGGAGCAAACAGGAUUAGAUACCCGCGUAGUCCCUGUCUCUUAUAC
rnacentral:rRNA from 1 species